AUCCAAAUGACGAGUUCCAAAUAGGACGAAACGCUUUUCCUGUAU
rfam:Schistosoma curassoni strain Dakar, Senegal genome assembly, scaffold: SCTD_scaffold0005626